UGUUUCGGCUAGGGGGUCAUCCCGACUUACCAACCCGAUGCAAACUGCGAAUACCGAAGAAUGUUAUCACGGGAGACACACGGCGGGUGCUAACGUCCGUCGUGAAGAGGGAAACAACCCAGACCGCCAGCUAAGGUCCCAAAGUCACAGUUAAGUGGGAAACGAUGUGGGAAGGCUCAGACAGCCAGGAUGUUGGCUUAGAAGCAGCCAUCAUUUAAAGAAAGCGUAAUAGCUCACUGGUCGAGUCGGCCUGCGCGGAAGAUGUAACGGGGCUAAACUGUGCACCGAAGCUGCGGCAGCGACACUAUGUGUUGUUGGGUAGGGGAGCGUUCUGUAAGCCGUUGAAGGUGUCCUGUGAGGGGUGCUGGAGGUAUCAGAAGUGCGAAUGCUGACAUAAGUAACGAUAAUGCGGGUGAAAAACCCGCACGCCGGAAGACCAAGGGUUCCUGUCCAACGUUAAUCGGGGCAGGGUGAGUCGACCCCUAAGGCGAGGCCGAAAGGCGUAGUCGAUGGGAAACAGGUUAAUAUUCCUGUACUUGGUGUUACUGCGAAGGGGGGGACGGAGAAGGCUAUGUUAGCCGGGCGACGGUUGUCCCGGUUUAAG
rnacentral:rRNA from 1 species